AAUCAACGCUGGCGGCGUGCCUAACACAUGCAAGUCGCACGAGAAAGUGGAGCAAUCCAUGAGUAAAGUGGCGCACGGGUGAGUAACACGUGAAUAAUCUACCUCCGAGUGGGGAAUAACUGAGAGAAAUCUUAGCUAAUACCGCAUAAUACCCACGGGUCAAAGCAGCAAUGCGCUUGGAGAGGAGUUCGCGGCCGAUUAGCUAGUUGGCGGGGUAANGGCCCACCAAGGCAAUGAUCGGUAUCCGGCCUGAGAGGGCGCACGGACACACUGGAACUGAAACACGGUCCAGACUCCUACGGGAGGCAGCAGUGGGGAAUUUUGCGCAAUGGGGGAAACCCUGACGCAGCAACGCCGCGUGGAGGAUGAA
rnacentral:rRNA from 1 species